AGCAGCCGCGGUAAUUCCAGCUCCAAUAGCGUAUAUUAAAGUUGUUGCAGUUAAAAAGCUCGUAGUUGAAUUUUGGGUUUGGCCGAUUGGUCCGUUCUUGUAGCGAGUACUGGUCGGUUGGGCCUCACCGCUUGGGGAAGCGUAAUGUCCUUUAUUGGGUGUUGCGAAUAUCCAAGACCUUUACCUUGAAAAAAUUAGAGUGUUUAAAGCAGGCAUAUGCCAGAAUACAUUAGCAUGGAAUAAUAGAAUAGGACAAUGAUUCUAUUUUGUUGGUUUCUAGGACCGUUGUAAUGAUUAAUAGGGAUAGUUGGGGGCAUUAAUAUUCAAUUGUCAGAGGUGAAAUUCUUGGAUUUAUUGAAGACUAACUACUGCGAAAGCAUUUGCCAAGGAUGUUUUCAUUAAUCAAGAACGAAAGUUAGGGGAUCGAAGACGAUCAGAUACCGUCGUAGUCUUAACCAUAAACUAUGCCGACUAGGGAUCGGGCGAUGUUGUUUCAAUGACUCGCUCGGCACCUUAUGGG
rnacentral:misc_RNA from 2 species